rnacentral:rRNA from 1 species
UGAGGGUACCGUCAGGCCUAACGUGUAUUAUACGUUAGGAGGUUCCUCCCCUCUGACAGAGCUUUACGACCCAAGAGCCUUCAUCACUCACGCGGUAUUGCUGCGUCAGGCUUUCGCCCAUUGCGCAAGAUUC